rnacentral:lncRNA from 1 species
GUCCUUUCCCUCUCCUUUAAUUCUGGCCUACCAAACAAAAAUGAACAUAUUCUCCCUAGCUCCUUAAAUCUUAAUUUUCUGCUUUUUAAUCCUGUCUUCAUUUCCUUUAGAUUGAAUUGUUGACUCUAAAUCAAAUCCCUCUUCUCCACACCUAACUCUCUGAAGAUAUGCAUUCCAAAUUAAAAACAACCUUGUUAAAUCUCCACCAUCCAUCUCUUCAAUUCUCUCUCAUCCCUCUCAGCCAAUAAAGACUUGCC